AGUCUAAGAGACUAGCUCCCCCAGCUAUGUGGUUCUCUCUAAUUGAGUUAUCCAGAAAAGUUAUGGGAAAACACAAGGACUUGAGAGGAUUCUAGUAGUGAUUCAAGGUGAAUUGAUUCGUGAAUAUACUUUUAUCUUGAUGAAAUUGUGCUUUCUAGCCUGAGGUACGAAGUGUAUUCAGUCUCCUUUAAAAAAAAGAUUUCUUGUUGAGAAUGUGAUGUUUAAGUAUAAUGAUGUGUAGCAUAAUAUUGGAACUGUAUUUCAACUCGAGUAGUAGUGCAUUUUAAAGUAUCAUGACCUAUUGGUAGUGAGAUGGUCUAGAAGUUGGUGACAUAAAGUCACAAGAUUAGCAGUCAGAGUGAGGGUGACAUUUGCAUAAAUAAAUAAUAUUAGUUGUAUAAUCGUGGAUUGAGGAGUGGGUUGUCAUUGUAUAGUGAUAGACUAAUGUGGUAUAAUGAUAGACUAAUGUGCAACAACAUUUGUAGAUCGUAUGGUAGUCUGUGGAGGAAGAUACAUGCUAUGAUUAUUAUUUAUUCAGAAUAGGAAAGGAUCACAGAAUGAAUGGUUAUGGUGGUUGUAGAAAUCAUUUAUAGGAUGUGAAUAUAAAGGGGUAGAUUAGUUAAUAAGUUGUAAGUAGAGACUCAUUAGUGUUUAUCGAGUUUUGAAGAUCAUUGUGAUGUGCGAUUAGGUAAGUAUGUAUAAUGUGCGAAAUUAGAAUAUGUUGAUAAAAAUUGAAAUGGGUUAUAUUACAGGAUUAAGAUCGACUAAUCCAAUUAUGUGACUUUACCACUUUGAUGGUGUUUUCUUUAGCAGUGAUAAAAUAGUACUCUAUGUGAGAAGGUAUGUAGUAGAUUUUUUUUGAGUUGUAAAAAUGAGGUUGUGGUAGGGUUGUGAUUGUAGGUAGUAGCUAAGUGAAGUAUUUUGGGUUGAUUUCCUGAUUUGAUAGAUUAGUAUAGUAUGUGGCAUGCUUCGUUGGUGGUACAUGAUUGGCGUUAAACUAUAGGAUUGAACUUGAGUGUGAAGUGUGGUGGUAAGAGUAAUGAUGCAUGUUUUGUUGGAAUCAAUUACCAGGCUUGAUGUGAUGUGUGAAAUGGCCUAGGUUGAUAAUUUAUGAAAAGUUUAAGUGGAAAUCAUAGAGUAUAUGUGUACAUGAGAACUAGUGUUAAAAUGCUGAAUUGUGGUUGAAUUAUUAAUGUGGAUAAGAGCGCGAGUAUAUAUGAAUAAGUUGAACUUAGGUAGCAGGUUGUUACAUAAAGUUCUAUAUGUAUAAGUGUUUUGUGUACCCAGAUUUCAUUCUCGAAUCUUGUAGUGUGGAAAAUCUAGUGAGUGGUUGUACGGUGUUUGGUAGAGUUGGAUUGAAAAAAAAAGGUAGGCAAUGUGCGCCCAUGGUAUAGUCUUACAGAUUUUGUUAAGUUGUAGGUUAUGUGAUUAGAGGUGUAAUGAUAGUAUUCUAAGGAAUUGAAGAUGGAGUGUUAAGUAUUUAGAAGUGUGGGAGUUGAUGACUUUGGGAGUUAGAAGAGAUUACGAUUAGUAUCCUUGAAAGGGGAUGCCCUAGAAAAUAAAUUAGUGACUUGGUAUUAGAGACUAAUGAGAGGAGUUUGUGUUCGUGUAUAUAUUGAUACCCCCUUUUGUGAUAGGAGUGUGGAUGCGUGCGCUCAAGAAAGUGGGGGUUGUAGAGUGAUGGCUAUAGAGGCUAGCGGAAGUUAAGAGUAGCAUUUACAGAAAAACAAGGCAUUCAUAGUAUAGUUCUUUAGGGAGAGUUUAGAGUUUAAGUAGGUGGUGACGUUUUUUAUUAUGUUGAGAGUUGUGGCUAUAGAUUUGAUAAGGGGGUAUGUCCGUAAGUCUAGGAAUAUGACUAUGAUCUAAGGGGGAGAUGGUGAAUUAGAGUAGUUCCCGAAUAUUCUCAGUGUGGCAAGUUACGGAGGAGAACCAUGAUUCAACUAGUCGUUUGUUGUUGAUGCCUCAUCUGUAUCUUUUCUUUGUGAUGAACAGUCUUAUCCAAAAAAAAAGUUCAUGGAACAUGAACAAAGAUUGUUUCUCGUGGGAGGGGGUGAUAUAUGAUGAAAUGAGUGGCGAUGUCUUUGAGCUUGAUCUUAGUUGUAGCCAACUUGUUGGGGGAGAUUGGUUCCAAUAGCAGCUUCUUCCAACUGUCUCAUCUCCAAAGGCUCAAUCUUUCUAUGAAUGACUUCUAUGGUUCUCACAUCUCCCAUUAAUUCGGCAUGGUUCUCGAGCUUGACACAUCUUAAUCUUUCUAAUUCCAAUUUGUCAGGUCAAAUUCCUUCUGAAUUAUCUCUCCUCUCCAAGUUAUCAGACAAUAGUGAGCUCGAACUUGCAGCUUACGAUUUCAAGAUGCUCCUUUAGAAUUUGACCCAAUUAAGAGCGCUUCAUCUUAGCGAUGUGAACAUCUCUUCCACCAUUCCUCUGAAUUUCUCUUCUCAUUUAACAACUAUAGGUCUAAGGGGUACAAGAUUGUAUGAGAUAGUACGUGAGAGUAUCUUUAACCCGCCCAACCUGGAAACACUCAACUUAAGUUGCAAUGAUCAGCUCAAUGGUUAUUUUUCAAAGACCAAAUGGAAUAGCAGUGCAUCUCUCAAGGAGUUGGAUCUCAUAGGAGUAAAUUUUUUUGGUAAUUACCUGCCUGAAUCUGUUGGCUAUUUAACUUCGUUGCAGAGAUUGGUACUCAUUUCAUGUAAUAUAUUGGGGCCAAUUCCGAAAUUCUCUCUGGAAUAUCAUUCGUCUGAAGUAUAUGGACCUUCAAGAUAACCAUAUUGAAGGACCAAUAUUCCCUUAGUUUACGGGUGGACUGCAGAAUCUGAGCACAGUUAAGCUCUCAAAUAACUCCCUGAAGGGUGCAAUAUCGUCCUGGAUAUUCUCCUUGCCAUCACUGAGUUAUCUAGACUUGAGUAAUAACCAUUUUUUCGGUCAACUUAAGGAUUUCAGGUACAAUUCAAUACUAGUCAUUAUUGAUACAAGCGAGAAUCAAUUACAAGGACUUCUCCCCAAAUCAAUCCAGAACCUCGAGAGCGUAGUCUCAAUUAAUUUAGCACUGAAUCCGUUGCAAGGUCCUCUUCCCAAGUCAUUUCGAAAAUGUUGUCAAUCCAACAUAUCUUGAUCUUUCAUAUAAUAGUAUUUCUCUGACUAAUGAAAACAAAGUCAAGUCUACUGUGCCUCUAUCUCUUAAAUACUUAUAUUUGUCUGGCUGUGAAGUAAACGAACUGGAUUUUUUUUUUAGAUCAGCAAAGCAGCUACAAACUUUGGAUCCUUCAAAAUAACAAGAUUCAAGGAAGAAUUCCUGAUUGGCUAUUGUUAAAUUGGAUGUCUUCCAUGUCAAAUCUUAAUCUAUCCCACAACAUGUUGACAAGUAUUGACCUGAUUCAUCUUCUAUUGAUUUACUGUCCAAUUUUCUUUGAGGGAAACUACCAAUUCCACCACCCUUCGUAGAAUGUUUUUUUUUCUUUUCAUAUUAAAUAAUAGUCUCACUGUGGAGAUCCCUUUUUCUAUAUGAAAUUUGAAAUCAUUAAAAGUUCUAGACUUGGCAAGAACCAACUUGAAGGAAGCAAUUCCACAAUGUUUGGGUAACAUGAGUGACUAACUCGAGGUUUUGGAUAUGCAACACAAUAGUCUUUCUGGUAAUCUCCAAACAACUUGCCUCUCUUACAUCUCUUGCAGUUUUAAAUCUCUUCCGCAAUCAUCUUGAAAGAUGCAUUCCAAAACGGCCUCAAUUUGCUACAUUUGGGAACAAUGCAUAUGAAGGCAAUGAUGGAUUGCGUGGAUUUCUAAUUUUGGGAGGUUGUGGAAGUAACUUGAUACUGGAGAAAAACAACACAACUUUUAUGCCGAAUAAAGAAGGUGAUUCUACAUUUCUAAGUGAGCUGUGUUGGGAAGUGGUUCUGAUAGGAUAUGGUUGUGGAUUGAUUAUUGGAUUCUCCAUGGCAUACGUCAUGCUUUCUUCUAAAAAAAAAUUGGCUUUCUAGGAUAGCUGAAGAUUUAGAAUACAUAAUUAGUAUGAGAAAUCGAAAGAAGACGCGAGAAUCACAUCUCAUGUCUCGUACCAAUCUUAACCAGGACGAGGAUUCUUAUAAACAUUCAAGUCUUACAAUGUUUUGAUCAUGUGCUAUAAUAAAACACAUGCCAAGAUCAUGUUGACAUCAAGUUUCGUUAUCUUAUGUUUCGUGCUUACACGUUUCCCUAGCGGUUGUCAUGAAUCUCGUUGACUGCCUUCGCAUAUUUUGUUGAGGAAAAAUGUUCAAUGCGAUGUUACGUUCUUUAUUCUAUACUUUUAGAGCUUCAAAAGUCCUUGCCCAUUAUUCAGGGACGAAUGAUCCCAAGUGGGGGAUAAUGUAACACCCCGUACUUUCAGGCUAGAAUUUAGACCAUCGUUCCUAUGCGUAGAGACCCUAACUAAAUUAUUACUUGUUAAUGUAUGUGUAGUGAUCACUCCUAGUCUGGGAAAACCUUUGAAUAUGAAUUGAGGUCACAAGAAUCCCCUAACUCUAAGACGAGUUGAAAACAAUUCCAUCGAUUAAGUUUUAGAGGAUAGUUCAACAUGAGUCAAAUUUCGUCGAUCAUAACUUCUGUUAUAUAAGGAAAUGGAUAACCUGCUAUAUAUUAAAUGAAAUAUCUUUGAGUUCUCUUUCCAACGCAACUGAUUUCGUCCAAAUCCAAUAUCGGAGUAAAAAGUUAUACCCAAUUUACUUCAGCAUGUUAGUCUGUCAACUGAGGGACUGUUACAACUUUUUUUUGGUUUUCCUAGGGGUAUUUAAGUCUUUUCUCCUCGACCCAAAUCGUCCAAACCACAUAAUAUCAGUCCUAAAACAACAUUUUUAGCCCCAAAUUCAUUUCCCCAAAUUGAAAUCAUUCGCCCUUUCUCUCAAGAACUGCAAGAACAAGAUUCAAGUUUCCUUCUCUUCUAAAGAUCAAGAACUCAUCCCUAAGAUCAAGAAUUCCAAGAAACGGAUCAGGAUCAGGGUUUCACCUUUCAAAUUCUAUAAUCUAAGGAUCCGAGGCAGAGUCCCGUAGUCCCAUACAGUUGUAGAUUCGUGUGUGUCAGAAGUUUGCAGCUGGUGAGCCUCCCUUACUUCGGAAGGCCGGUAUUAGAGCUUGGUAUUGUUGUUCAAUUUUGAUUCAUGGCCCGACUGGGGGCCUUGUCCCAGAUUUCAAACAAAUGUCAUUUUCAGUUGUUAGAGAUUUCGCAGACUGAUGUUUAGAAGUUGUUUCGAGGUUUAUGGUUUCCAUUACAGAUUGUUCAAUUAAAUUAUGAUAGUGAUCAUGAUUCCGUAUUGUUUUA